GGGCAUACGGUGGAUGUCUAGGCAUCAGGAGCCGAUGAAGGACGUAGGAGGCUGCGAUAAGCCUCGGGGAGCUGCCAACCGAGCUGUGAUCCGAGGGUGUCCGAAUGGGGAAACCCGGCAUCAGUCAUGUGGUGUCACCCGCACCUGAAUAUAUAGGGUGUGUGGAGGGAACGCGGGGAAGUGAAACAUCUCAGUACCCGUAGGAAGAGAAAACAACCGUGAUUCCGUGAGUAGUGGCGAGCGAAAGCGGAUGAGGCUAAACCGGUCACGUGUGAUACCCGGCAGGGGUUGCGUGGUCGGGGUCGUGGGACCUUUCUGAUCGUUCUGCCGGACGGUCGAGGAGUCAGAAAACACUGUGGUUAGUGGAAUACGUCUGGGAAGCGUGACCGUAGAGGGUGAGAGUCCCGUACGCGAAAACCCGGUGUCUCCUGAGAGUGUUCCCAAGUAGCAGCGUACUCGUGAAAUUCGCUGUGAAUCCGGCGGGACCACCCGCUAAGCCUGAAUACUUCCUGAUGACCGAUAGCGGACUAGUACCGUGAGGGAAAGAUGAAAAGUACCCCGGGAGGGGAGUGAAAGAGUACCUGAAACCGUGUGCCUACAAGCCGUCAGAGCCUUGCGGGGUGAUGGCGUGCCUUUUGAAGAAUGAGCCUGCGAGUUAGUGCUGCGUGGCGAGGUUAACCCGUGUGGGGUAGCCGUAGCGAAAGCGAGUCCGAAUAGGGCGUCUCCAGUCGCGUGGUCUAGACCCGAAGCGGAGUGAUCUACCCAUGGCCAGGGUGAAGCGUCGGUAAGACGUCGUGGAGGCCCGAACCCACCAGGGUUGAAAACCUGGGGGAUGAGCUGUGGGUAGGGGUGAAAGGCCAAUCAAACUCCGUGAUAGCUGGUUCUCCCCGAAAUGCAUUUAGGUGCAGCGUCGCAUGUUUCUCACCGGGGGUAGAGCACUGGAUGGUCUAGGGGGCCCACAAGCUUACCGAAAUCAACCAAACUCCGAAUACCGGUGUGUGAAGUGCGGCAGUGAGACUGCGGGCGAUAAGGUUCGUAGUCGAGAGGGAAACAGCCCAGAACACCAGCUAAGGCCCCUAAGUGUGCGCUAAGUGGGAAAGGAUGUGGGGUCGCCCAGACAACCAGGAGGUUGGCUUAGAAGCAGCCACCCUUGAAAGAGUGCGUAAUAGCUCACUGGUCAAGUGGUCCUGCGCCGACAAUGUAGCGGGGCUCAAGCGCGCCGCCGAAGCUGUGUCAUUCACACAAUACAUCCGCCCGGUUUUCGGACCGGGUGCAGUGGUGUGGAUGGGUAGGGGAGCGUCGUUCAGCCGGGGAAGCGGUGGGGGAACCCAAUCGUGGAGGCUGGACGAGUGAGAAUGCAGGCAUGAGUAGCGAAAGACGAGUGAGAAACUCGUCCGCCGGAUGACCAAGGGUUCCUGGGCCAGGCUAAUCCGCCCAGGGUAAGUCGGGACCUAAGGCGAGGCCGACAGGCGUAGUCGAUGGACAACGGGUUGAUAUUCCCGUACCCGUGUGGACGCGUCCCUGGUGAGCCCGGUGAUACUAACCGCCCAAAGCUAGCUAGCUAGGGGGCGGGUCGGGGCGUACCCGUCCGCGGGGGAUGACCUGGGGGCUCGGGAGGUCGUG
rfam:Actinokineospora bangkokensis strain 44EHW Scaffold32, whole genome shotgun sequence.